rnacentral:rRNA from 1 species
AGCGAACGCUGGCGGCAGGCCUAACACAUGCAAGUCGGACGAACUCUUCGGAGUUAGUGGCGGACGGGUGAGUAACACGUGGGAACGUGCCUUUAGGUUCGGAAUAACUCAGGGAAACUUGUGCUAAUACCGAAUGUGCCCUUCGGGGGAAAGAUUUAUCGCCUUAGAGCGGCCCGCGUCUGAUUAGCUAGUUGGUGAGGUAAAGGCUCACCAAGGCGACGAUCAGUAGCUGGUCUGAGAGGAUGAUCAGCCACAUUGGGACUGAGACACGGCCCAAACUCCUACGGGAGGCAGCAGUGGGGAAUCUUGCGCAAUGGGCGAAAGCCUGACGCAGCCAUGCCGCGUGAAUGAUGAAGGUCUUAGGAUUGUAAAAUUCUUUCACCGGGGACGAUAAUGACGGUACCCGGAGAAGGAGCCCCGGCUAACUUCGUGCCAGCCGCCGCCGUAAAAC